rnacentral:rRNA from 1 species
GACGAACGCUGGCGGCGUGCUUAACACAUGCAAGUCGAACGAAGAGCGAUGGAAGCUUGCUUCUAUCAAUCUUAGUGGCGAACGGGUGAGUAACGCGUAAUCAACCUGCCCUUCAGAGGGGGACAACAGUUGGAAACGACUGCUAAUACCGCAUACGAUCUAACCUCGGCAUCGAGGAUAGAUGAAAGGUGGCCUCUACAUGUAAGCUAUCACUGAAGGAGGGGAUUGCGUCUGAUUAGCUAGUUGGAGGGGUAACGGCCCACCAAGGCGAUGAUCAGUAGCCGGUCUGAGAGGAUGAACGGCCACAUUGGGACUGAGACACGGCCCAGACUCCUACGGGAGGCAGCGUGGGGAAUCUUCCGCAAUGGACGAAAGUCUGACGGAGCAACGCCGCGUGAGUGAUGACGGCCUUCGGGUUGUAAAGCUCUGUUAAUCGGGACGAAAGGCCUUCUUGCGAAUAGUUAGAAGG